rnacentral:rRNA from 1 species
GACGAACGCUGGCGGCGUGCUUAACACAUGCAAGUCGAACGGUGAAGCGCCUUCCUUUUUGGUGGGUGUGGAUGAGUGGCGAACGGGUGAGUAACACGUGAGUAACCUGCCCCCUUCUUCUGGAUAACCGCAUGAAAGUGUGGCUAAUACGGGAUAUUCUGGGUCUGUCGCAUGAUGGGUCUGGGAAAGAUAUUGUUUCGGUGGGGGAUGGGCUCGCGGCCUAUCAACUUGUUGGUGGGGUGAUGGCCUACCAAGGCGGUGACGGGUAGCCGGCCUGAGAGGGUGGACGGUCACACUGGGACUGAGACACGACCCAGACUCCUACGGGAGGCAGCAGUGGGGAAUAUUGCACAAUGGGCGCAAGCCUGAUGCAGCGACGCCGCGUGAGGGAUGGAGGCCUUCGGGUUGUGAACCUCUUUCGCCAGUGAAGCAGGCCUGCCUCGUUUGUGGGUGGGUUGACGGUAGCUGGAUAAGAAGCGCCGGCUAACUACGUG